AAAGUGCGAUAAUUUGUGCCUUGUGCGCAGAUCGGGCGCUGAGUCUUCGAAUGCAAAUCGUUCUGUCCAGGCUCAUAGUUGGCAGAGCAUCUGCUUCAGGGUUGUUAAUUAUUUUGCUGGCUCCGUUUGCGGAUGACCAGCUCAUUUAGCUGGACCAUUGAGACACUAAUGGUCUAACUUACUGACCUGUGCAGUCUUCAUUCCAUCCGUCCCGUUAAGCGUCGUCGCGUUGGACCCGAUCCUUCCGUCGUCGUGGGUUGGUAUGUGGCUGUUAACUGCUAUUGCAACGCAACCUGAAGUCAGGUGUGGCUACCCGCUGAACUUAA
rnacentral:misc_RNA from 1 species